rnacentral:rRNA from 1 species
UACGGAGGGGGCUAGCGUUAUUCGGAAUUACUGGGCGUAAAGAGCGCGUAGGCGGUUUAUUAAGUUGGAAGUGAAAGCCCAGGGCUUAACCUUGGAACUGCUUUCAAAACUGAUAAGCUAGAGGUUGAUAGGGGAUAGCGGAAUUCCUAGUGUAGAGGUGAAAUUCUUAGAUAUUAGGAGGAACACCGGAGGCGAAGGCGGCUAUCUGGAUCAAUACUGACGCUGAGGUGCGAAAGCGUGGGGAGCAAACAGG